GUAUGAUUUAUAAAUUAUGAUGCCGUGUCCGCGCCGUACCCGUAUCAUGUAUUUUUAAGAAUUGAUGUGUCCCGUAUCCGUAUCGUGUCGUAUCCGUGUCUCCGUAUUCGUAUCGGUGCAACAUAGUGGACAAUUAAAUGAGCCCUUAUUUGAAAUACAGUUUCAUCAAAUUCUGAUAUCAUUGAUGCUUAAGUUUUAUGUUUAUAACUCUGCAAGCGAAGUGGAAAAAAUGUUUGAGAAGUUUGGUUGGAACUUUUCUGUUUGUUUACAAGUAGGAUUUAGUUAACCCUUUAAAUUCAGAUUUUUAAUCUUGAGCAUAUUAGAACAAGAAAAUUUCUUGGCAUGUUAAUUGUUAAAUCUUGCUAAAUCUUGAUACACUAUUAGAUCAUUUGUUCCGGUGUUUAAGAUUUGUAAGAGGGUGAAAUCCUUAAAUAAUACUGUGAAUAGUGGACAGAUCUUGUAUUUAACCUACACUGAAGUUGAAAUGAAUUAAUCAAAACAGUAGGAUUUAACAAACAUUUAGCUGGACUUCUGUUAAAUCAUGCCUAAAUCCUGUGUAAAAUAGGAUACCGAACAAGCCCUAAGGGAUGUUGGUUCUUUCAUAGGCUUUGGUCGCACCUUUGGUUUACUUUUUCCUUUUUUACUCUUACUUCUCUGUAGGAAAUUGCCUUGCCGCUUAAUUCAUCAUCUAAGAGUGUGGGGUUUCAUUUGGAUUUUUUUUUUGUGCACAUUAGCAUUAUUAUUUUCUGAAAACUGUACUGUUUGCUGCUCUUCACUCUAGAUAUGCUUGGACUAUUUUUUAUAAUUUUUACUUGCUUUCUCGCCAUGUUCGAUCUUACUUGAGGGUAAAGACGUUCAAGUAAAGGUAUACUUCCCAAAUAAAUCUGCAUUUAUUAUCAUUGGGUGCUUUAGUUUGCCAAUUACCUUUUACCUUGCCUAGAGUGGGGACACAAGGGGGGAUGUUAGUAAUAAAGAGUAUGAUGGAGCAAUGUUGUUAAGAAAAAAACGAGGAAAAGCCAAAUGAAAAGGCUCUGGAAGCAGCAACUUGAUCUUUGGUUCCUUACGUGAUGAAGAAAACUAAUCCAAGCGAAUCAUGUUCUGAGUUCGUACUAACAGUGAUGUCAUAUUUAUAGUUUUCAAUCUGAUAAGGAAUCUUGGAUUGCUUCUGUUGCUCGGGCCUAAAGCUAUAUUUUCCUAAUUUAUGUUUUAAUAUUGGUUCUCUUAUCUUACCAAAUUGCCCAUUUCAACAUUGCUUGAGGGGGAGAUGGAGAAUUCAUAUGAAGAGGAUGAUGGAAGCAAUGUUGUAAGGAGUAUGCGGGGCUAAGCUAAUGAGGAAGAAUCUCGAAAUCUUUGGAUGGAGGUAGAAUUCAUUUGGAGAGGAUGAUGGAGUGCGGUUGUGAGGAAGUGAGGAGAAGUUGAAGAAUGUUCAAGAAGUGGAAGCUUGAGUUUCACACAUGAUGAAGAAAACUAAUCCCAUACAAAUCAUGCUCUGAUGGCUUCUAUUGUUAUGAAUCUGAUAUGGUAUUAGGGAUUAGUCCUUCUCGUGUCUAAUUCUAUUCUCCCCAAAUAAUUUUUACAUUUAGGAUCUUAAAAAAUUGUUCUUUUGGUUCAACUGGAGAGGAGAGGUGGGAAAACUCUUCAUUGGAUAAGAUGGAGGCAGUGGGAAGAAAUUGAAGAAGGCUCUGGAAGUGUCAGCUUGAAGUCUUAAUCCACAUGAUUUAGGUCAAAUUUCGGAAAUAUUUUAACAAAAUCCCGCCAAACGCCAAGAAAAUACAAAGUUAAAUCUCACGGUAAGUCUAAUCUCUACUUCAUGGCGUUUUGGCCAUUUAUGCCCUAAAUCCUGGAUUUCAUAAAUCUGACUUUUUUUGUGGAUUUCAUAAAUUCGACAAAGAAGCGUGUGAAGGGGAGAAAUAUUGUUACCUUCACGGAGAACUCCCGGGGCGAUUUCCAAUAUGACAGGAACAACGUGUCUUAUAAGGCGGAGAAGCUUCAACUCUUUCAAAACCCUACUUCAUGUGAAGCAGAACAACAACGAAUAAAUGCAGAAGAGGAAAAGCAAACCCUAGAUAUUAGUAUGAACAGUAUGAUGGAGCAAUGUUUUUAAUAAAAAAGGGAGGAAAAGCCAAAUGAAAAGGCUCUGGAAGCAGCAACUUGAUCUUUGGUUCCUUACGUGAUGAAGAAAACUAAUCCCAAGCGAAUCAUGUUCUGAGUUCGUACUAACAGUGAUGCCAUAUUUAUAGUUUUCAUUCUGAUAAG